UCUUCAUUUCGUAUACUAUCUCACCAGGCAGAGUGGCGAGAGAGUGUGCGACAUGAAGAGA
rnacentral:pre_miRNA from 1 species